GGCGCCGCCGUCUCGACCCCUUUGGCUGCGAACCGCUGAUCCAGAGAGGCCGGCGCUGAGGGAGAGCCCGGCCCAUUCCCCGCCGCCGCAGGGCGUCCGGGGUCUAGAGCUAUUUAAUACUUCAGACUGUGUUCUGAUACUUCUGGAAAAAAAGAGGAAUAUAUUCUGCUAAAGAUAAAAAACAUCUACCUUUCACUGAAAAUUUACUCUAUGCUGGGCACUGUCUUAAACAUAUUUCAUCUUCAUCUUUUUAAGGUAGGUGUUCUACUUCCCACUUCACAAAUGCAGAAAUUGACCAUCAGCAGCAGGUCUUAGUUUCUAGCUUAGGUCUGUUUGACUCCAAAACGUGUGCCUAACCACUGUGGGAUAUAUACCACUUCUAUAAGCAUUUAUUAAAAAGAUCAAUGCUUACUGAAAAAUUCAGCACUCUGAAAUCUUAGAAUUUAUAGCUAGUGAACUGAAGAUCAGUUUAUUUAAUCAGAAUAUAUAUAAAUCCCUAAUUAGUUAACCUGCUGUUUUUCUAAUAGGGUUUAAUUUGUUUUCCAUAAAAAAAGUCAGGGACCUUUUGUGUAGGAAUGUUUAGUCAUUUAAGGUUUGCUGUAAGCAAAUUAAAUGAUGGCACUCAUGGGAACACAGCAGGAAUAGAGACAGAGUUUUUAAAAGAUGUAACUGUUUCUAUGAUUCUGAAUUGACAGUAUUUUUACCAAAAUCAGUUCAAGCAAGGGCAUUACCUUCGAGGAACAUUGUGAGGAUAUGGAAUGACAAUUAGCUGGGAAUUUGGAAUGAUUGCAGUCCACUCUUGUUUUCGUACAGACUGGAAAAAGAAUGUUAAGAACAUUUAACAUCUAGUAUACUUUAAAAACAAUUAUUAGAUUAAAUCGAAGAUGGUGGCAUAGGAGGACACUGGGCUCACCUCGUCCUGCUGAUCGCUUCGAUUCCACCCACAUCUGCCUAAAUAACCCAGAAAACUGCCAGAAGACUAGUCGAACAGACUCUCCAGAGCCAAGCGUAGACAACAGGCCCAUGGAAGAGGGUAGGAAGGGCAGAGAGGCAGUGCGUGCUACACAGACUGG